CCCUUAGAUGUUCUGGGCCGCACGCGCGCUACACUGAUGCAUUCAACGAGUCUAAAACCUGGUCUGAUAGGGCUGGGUAAUCUUUUGAAAGUGCAUCGUGAUUGGGAUAGAUGAUUGCAAUUCUUCAUCUUCAACGAGGAAUGCCUAGUAAACGCAAGUCAUCAGCUUGCAUUGAUUACGUCCCUGCCCUUUGUACACACCGCCCGUCGCUCCUACCGAUUGAAUGAUCCGAUGAAUACCGUGGAUUGAGAGUACGAAUGGGUUCGCUCAUUUCUGCUGCUCGAGAAGUGGAGUAAAUCUUAUCAUUUAGAGGAAGGAGAAGUCGUAACA
rnacentral:rRNA from 1 species